GAUGAACGCUGGCGGUAUGCUUAACACAUGCAAGUCGAACGAAAUCUUUGGAUUUAGUGGCGGACGGGUGAGUAACACGUGAGAAUCUGCCAAAAGGACUGGGACAACAGCUGGAAACGGCUGCUAAUACCAGAUAUGCCAAUCAGUGAAAGGGGCAACCCGCCUUUUGAUGAGCUCGCGACCGAUUAGCUAGUUGGUGGGGUAAAAGCCUACCAAGGCGACGAUCGGUAGCCGGUUUGAGAGGACGACCGGCCACACUGGGACUGAGACACGGCCC
rnacentral:rRNA from 1 species